AUUGAACGCUGGCGGCAGGCUUAACUCAUGCAAGUCGAGCGGGGUGAUGGUGCUUGCACUAUCACUUAGCGGCGGACGGGUGAGUAAUGCUUAGGAAUCUGCCUAUUAGUGGGGGACAACAUCUCGAAAGGGAUGCUAAUACCGCAUACGUCCUACGGGAGAAAGCAGGGGAUCACUUGUGACCUUGCGCUAAUAGAUGAGCCUAAGUCGGAUUAGCUAGUUGGUGGGGUAAAGGCCUACCAAGGCGACGAUCUGUAGCGGGUCUGAGAGGAUGAUCCGCCACACUGGGACUGAGACACGGCCAAGACUCCUACGGGAGGCAGCAGUGGGGAAUAUUGGACAAUGGGGGGAACCCUGAUCCAGCCAUGCCGCGUGUGUGAAGAAGGCCUUAUGGUUGUAAAGCACUUUAAGCGAGGAGGAGGCUUACCUAGUUAAUACCUGGGAUAAGUGGACGUUACUCGCAGAAUAAGCACCGGCUAACUCUGUGCCAGCCGCCGCGGUAA
rnacentral:rRNA from 1 species